rnacentral:pre_miRNA from 9 species
UCUCGAUAGCGUAAAAGUUAACUCAAAAUUGUAUAGAGUUGGAAAGUUUGCUUUCGUUUGCCGCUAGGGACACUGUUCCAAUUGCAAAAAAAUUUGAGUUAACUUUUACGCUAUCGA